ACUGAAUAGAUACCCAGGUAGUCCACGCCCUAAACGAUGUCAACUAGGUGUUGGAGGAGCAAAUCUUUCAGUACCGCAGCUAACGCGUGAAGUUGACCGCCUGGGGAGUACGGUCGCAAGAUUAAAACUCAAAGGAAUUGACGGGGACCCGCACAAGCGGUGGAUGAUGUGGAUUAAUUCGAUGCAACGCGAACAACCUUACCUACCCUUGACAUGUCUGGAAUCCUGCUGAAAGGCGGGAGUGCCCGAAAGGGAACCGGAACACAGGUGCUGCAUGGCUGUCGUCAGCUCGUGUCGUGAGAUGUUGGGUUAAGUCCCGCAACGAGCGCAACCCUUGUCCUUAGUUGCUACGCAAGGGCACUCUAAGGAGACUGCCGGUGACAAACCGGAGGAAGGUGGGGAUGACGUCAAGUCCUCAUGGCCCUAUGGUAGGGU
rnacentral:rRNA from 1 species